AUUGAACGCUGGCGGCAGGCCUAACACAUGCAAGUCGAACGAGUGGCGGACGGGUGAGUAAUGUCUGGGAAACUGCCCGAUGGAGGGGGAUAACUACUGGAAACGGUAGCUAAUACCGCAUACCAUCGGAUGUGCCCAGAUGGGAUUAGCUAGUAGGUGGGGUAACGGCUCACCUAGGCGACGAUCCCUAGCUGGUCUGAGAGGAUGACCAGCCACAAUGGAGCUGAGACACGGUUCAGACUCCUACGGAAGGCAGCAGUGGGGAAUAUUGCAGAAUGGGCGAAAGCCUGAGGCAGCCAUGCCGGGUGUAUGAAGAAGGCCUGCGAGUUGUAAAGUACUUUCAGCGGGGAGGCGGUACCCGCAGAAGAAGCACCGGCUAACUCCGUGCCAGCAGACGCGGUAAUUC
rnacentral:rRNA from 1 species